AGACAACAGGCCCAAGGCCACACGAAGAUGAAAUUGUUGUCUUGCUUUCUCACUGAAACAAAUGAAUUUCGGAAAGUAUAGCCGAAGCCGAAGCGUAAUUCAGUCAUUUAAGAGACUUGCAAACGAAAUGAUAUGAUUACUCGGUACUCGCUCUCGGCUUUUAGUGACUUUAGGUAACGGUGACCUCAAUCAGAUUCGGGACUGAAGCUCUAGUAUGUAUUGGCAGUUACCUGAGCCAAGAAGGGAGAGAAUGGGAGCCGCCGUGAAAAAAUAAAUCAAAGCGGAAUAAAUGAUAGUGAAGCUGACACAACGUAGAACGCGGAAACACUAAACAAAUGUAAUGCUAAAUCGAACUCUGAAGUCUAGAGAACGACUGCGGCGGCAACGACUGCGACAAUGCCGAUGACGACGAUGACAAACAAAAGCGAUGCCGAUGUUGACUGCAUGUCAUGUAAUGUAAUUCUAUCCCAAUUCAAGCGAUCAAGAAUAGCAUAGUUUAUAUCCGACUAUGAGAUGCCCUUGCGAUACCUUUUUCACACGGUAUUCAGGCGUACGUUCAUUCACAGAUUCAGCCGUUAAUCUGCAAAAGCACAGCAUACCCUUCCUUGUUCUCUAGGAGGAUUGGGUGGAAAAAAAAAUUAUUUUUUUUAAUUGUACACCAAGCCGAGGUCGUUUGAUGCUGCAAUCACUUUCAUUUAAAAAUUAAUCUUCACUUGUUUUUCCACGACAGUCGACUUGCGCACAACAUGCUAAGUAUGUAAAUUGAGGGCAACAAAUAAGGGGGGAUCGCCUCGAGUCCCCUAACCGAGUCGAAGUGCAAUCAAACGCUGUCGGGAAUCGAGAUCGGGAAUGGUAAUACAAAUAUAAUAGAAUUGCACUUCUAUAAGAGAUUAGUAGCGGGUCCAGCAAACGCUUGCGUCAUCUGUCAUCUCUAUCUGACACUACGAGAUACGAAAUGUAUUUGUAUUUCUGUAAAUAUGUAGAUGGAACGAUACGGAAGCUUUUGGAGCAACUCUGAACUGGUCCAGAUACCCCAUCCAAAGUCAAACACGUAGAAGGCUGCCGUCACGCUUUUUGAGCGUGCUAUAAAAGCAAGAGAGUAGAGCAGAGCAGAGCACCAGGCAAGGCCUUCCUGCAAUUGAACAUAUUCUCGUUCUUAUUAAAAAUUCAAAACUAUCGAAACUUUCUAGAGUCUAAAUUUAAGUUAGCGAAUUAAACUUCUUCGCGAUGCCACCUGGUAGAACUACAAAUGACUACAAAUGUUCUCAAUUUGCACAAAAAGUAUGCACACGUUCGACGUAAAUGAAGUUUUACUGCAAUGAGCUAUUUUUUGUAAUGCUUAAUUAAAGAAAAACAGAAUGCUUUCAAUAUAAUUAAUA